AACUAUGAUUGUGGUCUUUUCGUCAUCAAAUAUAUGCAAGGGAAACCUUUGCCUUCGGGUGUAAUCAAGUUUGACUAUUUGCAUAGGGCUCGCUUGUUACUUGAUCUUGUGAUAUUCAAGCAUAAUUCAGCUCCUAUUGUUGGUGAUAUCGCACAAUAUAAAGCUGAACUCAGAGCUAGAAGUGAAUUGAAAUGGAAGUAGAGGCUAACAUGAGCUAGAAAUUAGAUUUUGUUAGUGAGACCUAUGAUGGUAUGUCUGUUUUGAAAUACUUAAACUAGCAUGAGUUUUGCAGAUCUUAUUGAUGUUUGGAAUGGAUGGAGGCAUUAUCAAUACAUCAUUACCAACUUCAUACUGACUUUGUUGGUCAUUUUAUUAAGAUAGUGCCAACCACUAUUUAUAGAAUAAAAGACACUACAAGAAAAAGAGGAUACAACGACGUUUUUUUUUUUAUGACGUUUUUUCAAAAAUGUUGUGAAAUCUGUCCAGAUUUUUCAGAUUUGUAAUGUAGCCAAGGGGUGUUGACUUUUCCAAUUUGUCAAAUUAUACUUAAUAAUUUUUGUA